CCUCUGCCUCCCUAGUGUUAGAAUUAAAGGUGUGUGCCACCACCGCCUGGCUAAGUCUUUAUUAUUUUUAUUUAUUUGUUUGUUUGCCUAUUUAUUUACAUGUGAGGCAUGAUGUCUAUAGCCCAGUCUGUCCUGGACCUCGUGAUCCUCCAGCCUCAACUUCCUGAGUGCUGAGAUGACAGAACAACUGUUGAACUGUGUGUGCACAAGCCUCCUCUGCGUCUCCACUGGAGAACUGGAAGCUGCUGACAGCUUUGCAACUGUGUCCUCACCUAACUCCUGGGGAAUAACACCCGAUGGAUGGAAAAGUGUGGGCUGGCUGGAGGUCGCCGCCAGUUGGGGGAGGAGCGCUGCAAACGGCAGUGGCCAGCGGCUGGAGGCUGCCUUCCCAGAGCUGAGCCUGUGGUUUCUCUGCACAUUCAGAACUCUCACUGUCGGGGCUGCCGUUUCCUCUCUGACAGCGCCAAAUGAAAAUGCAUCCGGAGGCUUCAGCUCUUGGGCUGCCAAAUCAAAGUCAGUUUAUCAGCAAGCACCCGCCAGACCGUGGCUCUGGCGGCAGCCUGUGUGCCCGCCCAGCGCAGCUUCCCUUUUGAAAUGCUCUUUUCUAAGAACUGAGAAUAAGCAACCUAGGCUGUGACUUCACUUUUCUCGGAACUGCUUUACAUUAUAUAUAUUUUAAAAAUGCGAAACCAUCACUUAGCUGGUUUUGGAUUGCCUGAGUUCCCUAAUUCUUUCUGUUGCAUGUUCUUGUAAAGCUGAAGUUUUACCGCAAAAUUCUGCAGGAGGGGGAAAGAAUCUAACAUGCGAGAUAGGGGUGUGUCUUGUGUUUUCGCUGGCUUGUGUAUGAUUUAAUGAUUAAGAAGAAAAAGAAACUAGAAGAGCUGUGAAAAGUCAGGGAUCAGCUCUGAGUUGUCUGCCCAGCUAGAGUUGGUGGUGGGCAGUUGGUCCACACUUCCCAAUCAGCUAGCUACCUCUUGCAAGGAUGAGAGGGAACCUGGGUGUAGUGGUACACACUGUAAUCCUGGUAUUCUGGAGGUAAAGGCUACUCUGGUCUGCAAGUUCCAGACCUUUUGUUGACAUAGCAAGACUCUACCUAAAGAGGGGGAGGGUCUCCCGGAGCUGUAGAUCAGUGGUGGAGUCCUUGCUUAGCAUCAACGAAGCCCUGGGUUUUAUUCCCAGCACUCCAAAAACCUAGGCAUUGUAAUCCUAUAUAAUCUCAGCACUAAGGAGAUAGAGGAUCAGAAGUUCAAAGUCACCAGCCUGGGCUUCCUGAGAAACUGUCUUCAAAACAAAACAAAACAGGGUGGGGGAAAGAGUAGAUGCAUCUUCAGCCAUAUUUAGUCACAGUGACCUAUAUCAAGCACGUAAUAGCUUUGAGUCUGUGUAUAAAGACAUCAUCCUGGGGUUCCUCCCUUCUUGGGAUUAGGGAACUGAAAUACCGUCACACUGUGGGGUCCUGGUUCUACUGUUUUUUGCUUGAUCUUGGGUUUGAAGGUUGGCCUUCAAAGUGGAGGCAAUCCUUGCUUCAACAGGUGCUGCUAGUAGGUCCUUGGGAGGUAGCUGGAGUUAGCUCCCCCUUCUGAGUUGUUUUAAAUUCUUGAUUGGUACAUCUGUCCCCCAGGGACUCGCACAGCACACGUAGAUACUCAGUAAGUGCUAGCAACGGCCGAGUUUCAGGUUGAAGACAGGAGACACAAGCAAAAGCACCGUGAUUGUGAACUAUGUAUGGCAUUUGAGGAUUAAAAAAAAUUGUUUACUCAUUUA